AAUUAUUUUGAAUAAAAAAUUGUUACAUCAUCAUUUUAGAUGUACAAUUGGUAAGUUUUUACUUAAUAAACAAGUAAUUUAGAUUGAAGUUUUUAUGAUACAAAUGUCAUUUUGAAGGUUAAAAAUAGUAGUAAAAAAACUUAAAGAUUUAAAAUGUCAAUAAGUGCCACUUUCAUAGUUUCUACGCGACUUUUUCCUAAUAUCAAUAGUGUGAAUGUUAAUAAAACUGAAUGUACUAAUGUGUAUAUUGAUGUGAUCCUAGCCAAGAUCGAACUUUCUAGAUGUAAGAAAAUGGGGAUAAGCCUUGUUGUGCGAAUCAGAGACUCAAGCACACAAGGGUUGUGGAUCGAAUAGUAACAUAAAAGAUGCUCAAGCACAUAAGGGUUGUGGAUCGAAUAGUAACACAAGAGAUGCGGAAAGACUCUUGAUACUGCUAGUUCUCCUCUUUUGGAUAUGACAAACCAAAGAGAUGAAACUUAAGCUGUUGGAUAUUACACACUAACAAAAAACAGUCAAAGAGAAUUCUGGAAAAAGAAGAAAAUGUUUUUUUUAUUGAUACUGGGACAAGGAAAUUCGACCAACAUAUAAAAAGAAAAGCUUGUACAUGCUCAAGCUCUCAAAAAUAGAUAAACAAUAAAUCCUAAAGGCUCCUCUCGAAACACACAGCAAACAGAGUUCAAAAUUCAAAAUAAAGAUAACUUAAAUACGUAGAUAAAUAUUUCUCCUUGCUGGACCUUGAUGGAUUAAUAAAAUAUGAGAUGGAUAAGCAACUUGUGGCUUCGUCAAAAAUCUUUAAAAAUCCAUUGGGACAAAACUAAAGGCAGGAACAAAAUCACACGCAACCUACUUGCCUAUUUGAUGAUCAACUUGAACUUUGAAUGUCUUGAAUGGACAGUACUCCUCCCAUUUCGACCAAUGUAUUCUUCUUGUUUCCAAGCAUUAUUCAAUGUUGCAUCCUCAGCUACAAGAUCAUCAUCUAGUUCAAGCUCAUUCUCAAAUUCUUUAUUUGACCAUUUGGACUUGACCAUGCUCGUAUUAUAUUGUCUUCUAGUUUAUCUUCGGUUGACCAUCUGGACUUGACCACGUUUGUAUUUUCUUCUAGUUUGUCUUCAGUUGACCAUCUGGCCUUGACCACAGCCGCAUUGUUCUUUAUAAGGGAAGCACCUGCAGAGAGGAUGAAAUCGAUGAGCCCCAGAUUGUUUCUAAGAACUGCUUAGAAGCAACUUUAACAAAGCAAGAUCGGACUACUUGUACGGUUGCUUGUUGUCUUUUGGGCAUUGUUUUCUUGAUUUUGCUUGUAUGUUCGAUGAGACAUCAAUACGAAACUGGUGUACUUAGCGUCAGGAUUUGUGAUUCAUGUGGAGAAGGAGAAACACAAAGACUUAUCUGAGUUUGAGCUUAAAGACAUUCCUUGAAACUAGAGAUUUGUAUUUUAAAAGCUUUUCUUCCGUUUUAAUGCUUGUUACUAUUGCUUUUGAAGAUUUUUCUUUUUUUUUUUUGUAUAUUUGCAUGCAUAUGGAAAAUUGGAAUUUUUUUAUUUCUACCAUAAGUUUAAUACUAAUUUUCAAAUUUAUCAUUAAUAAAUGAUUAUUUUCACAAAUAUCCUAAAUUUGUGAUAAAAAUAACACUAAGUUAUUUUUUAAAAUUAUUUAUAGAACAUUUAUAAACUCAAUCUCAACUCCUUAAUAGUAAACCCAAAACGAUAAUCACUAAAGCUUAAACCUAAAUGUUAGUAUUUUUUUUAUUUGUGGUAUUUUUGAAAAAUGGUACUUAACUUGUGGUAUUACUAACAAUUUUUCUAGAAGAUUAUUGUAUUGUUUGGAUUGUAGUUUCUGUUUUAUGAUUUCGAUAAACAACAAUUUAUUUUCGUAAAAACUGUUGUGCAUUAUUAAUAGUACUUAUCAAACAACUAUCAAUGUUGCACCAACUAAAUAAUAACUAAAAUAUAAAAAAAUUAUGUUUAUUAUUAUGUCAGUCUCAUAGAUAACGAAAUUCCUAAGGUUAACAACAUAAUUCAUUUACCAAAAAAUUGAGCAGAAACUUUAAUUACGUAUUGUAUGUAACACCAGCAUCGACAAUGAUUUUGUCAAUCAUUCUCUUUGCUUAAUCUAACAUUCUAUAUUUUCUAUUUUUAGUAUAAAUUUUGUUGAACAAUAUAAAACGCACAUAAACAAAAUGAUUGGAAAACUGUUCAAGACUAUCCGCGCUUAACGUGGACAAAAAUCUAGUGUUAUAAACAUAAAAGUUCUUGACAAAGAUUUUUAUUCUUUAUGUGAUGAAUGUACUAGUUAGAGUACAUAUAAUAUUUUUUAAUCGAAUAAUGUAAUUUUUCUUUCUUUUUUCUUUGGAAUUUUUUUAACGUGUUUUUAGCAACAGAAAGUCACACUUGCAACAUUAGAUAUGCAUCAUAUAUGUACAUAUAUAAACACAAGUAAAUUAAAUAUUUGUACCUCCCCACCUCUGAAGGUUUUUAAAAGCUGCUUAAGGUUCUAUUCCUUAUUUUUUUGCUAAGAAUGUUAAUUAAGAUUCUAAUCCUAUGAUUACUAAUACUAGCUAUGAUAACAAAAAUAAGAAUCAGUGAGUUUUAGAUUUAGAGACAAGAGAGAGAUACAUUACCUUCUUCAUAGGAGAGUCUUUCUUUCUUCUCCCCUCCUGCAUUCCUCAAAUUUUAUCUUCCCAAUAAAACCCAACACAGAAGAAAGUCUAAAAGGGGAUUUUGCGGGAGAUGAAAGUCGGAGCUCCGAGAAAGAUUCGUAGUUGGGUCGUAUUCCAAGUUCUUCUUCUGUAUCUCCUUCCUCAAGCUGUUCAUUCUCAGAGAUCACA